GGCCGUGUGGCCUAAUGGAUAAGGCGUCUAAACCGAAGACUGCAAGUUCGAGUCCUGCCUCGGUCG
rfam:Caenorhabditis brenneri strain PB2801 C_brenneri-6.0.1_Cont212.2, whole genome shotgun sequence.